rnacentral:rRNA from 1 species
UACGUAGGGUGCAAGCGUUGUCCGGAAUUAUUGGGCGUAAAGGGCUCGUAGGCGGUCUGUCACGUCGGGAGUGAAAACUCAGGGCUUAACCCUGAGCCUGCUUCCGAUACGGGCAGACUAGAGGUAUGCAGGGGAGAACGGAAUUCCUGGUGUGGCGGUGAAAUGCGCAGAUAUCAGGAGGAACACCGGUGGCGAAGGCGGUUCUCUGGGCAUUACCUGACGCUGAGGAGCGAAAGUGUGGGGAGCGAACAGG